GAUGAACGCUGGCGGCGUGCCUAAUACAUGCAAGUCGAGCGGUAAGGCCACUUCGGUGGUACACGAGCGGCGGACGGCUGAGUAACGCGUAGGAACCUACCCCGAAGUGAGGGAUAAGCACCAGAAAUGGUGUCUAAUACCGCAUGUGCUCUUAGGAGUAAAGCUUCGGCGCUUUGGGAAGGGCCUGCGUAUGAUUAGCUUGUUGGUGAGGUAAUAGCUCACCAAGGCGACGAUCAUUAGCUGGUCUGAGAGGAUGAUCAGCCAGACUGG
rnacentral:rRNA from 1 species